UACUGCUAUCAGCCAUCAUCACCAUCUGCUGGCUCAUUGGCAUCAAAGACUUGUAUGCCAAGGUCUUUGGGUCCGUCAGUAUGCCCAACCUCACCUGGGGCCUCUUUCGUGGGCUCUCCAGCCGGGAAAUCCAUCAACAGCUGGCUGAUAAAAAGGGCCUCUACAUUGUGGCCCUCUGCCUGGAGUGGUUGCCUACCCCUGGGGGCCCUUGAGAAAUGAUCCAGAGCUGGAUGAUUAGGUUCCAGACAUCAAUCUGGACUAGGAAGAAGUGAAGGCUGUGCAGCGAAUGAAGUGCUCUGUAUGGUCCAGUUUAAAGAGAGUUGCC
rnacentral:lncRNA from 1 species